rnacentral:rRNA from 1 species
GGAUUGAAGGCUGAAAUUCGCCUUCAUGAAGCCGGAAUUGCUAGUAAUGGCAGGUCAGCAUACUGCCGUGAAUACGUUCCCGGGCCUUGUACACACCGCCCGUCACACCAUGAGAGUUGGGAAUACCCGAAGCCUGUGAGCUAACUUUUAGAGGCAGCAGUCGAAGGUAGAAUCAAUGAUUGGGGUGAAGUCGUAACAAGGUACC